GACGAACGCUGGCGGCGUGCUUAACACAUGCAAGUCGAAGAUAGUGGCGACCUGGUGAGUAAUACGUGGGUAACCUGCCAUCCUUUUUGGGCUAAGCCUUGGAAACGGGGUCUAAUACUGAAUAAAGGGGGAUGGGCUCGCGGCCUAUCAGCUUGUUGGUGGGGUGAUGGCCUAACAAGGCGGCGAAGGGUAGCCAGCCUGAGAGGGUGACCGGCCACAUUGGGACUGGGAUAAGGACCAGACGCCUACGGGAGGAAGAAGUGGGGGAUAUGGCACAAUGAGCGAAGGACUGAUGCAGCGACGCGGCUUGAGGGAUGAGGGAUUUAGGGUUGUAAAACUCUUUCGCUAUCGAAUGGGUAGGUGGAGAAGAAGCGCUGGCUAACUACGUGCCAGCAGCCGCGGUAAUAC
rnacentral:rRNA from 1 species